CCCGGCGGCAAGAGGCGGCGGGAAACACCCGUUCCCAUGCCGAACACGGAAGUUAAGACGCCGGCCGACGAUGAUACCGAGCCGGAAUGGCUAGGGAAAGUAGGGGCCGCCGGGG
rnacentral:rRNA from 1 species